AAUACUCCAGGACAGUAUGAACUAUUUGUCAUUCCCUAGUCAGAAGCCACUUUGUUCCUCCAUGUGAAGACAGAACUAGAUUGCUGCCUUAUAAAAUGUCCCUAAUAGGAAUGAUUUCAUGGUUUUAUUACUUUGGACCCCAGCAACUAUCCUGAAAGAUACUAACAGCAGAUGUUUACUAUGCUUGGCAGAUUGCAACAGGAAUGAGCUUUGCAUGAUCCUGGAGAGGAUGGAAGCGAGGAGUGAUCCAGUUCACGCUGUUGGUUCACACACAACCUGCCUUGAAAGAGAUCAGAACUCUUCAGCUGAACUGCACCUGAAAAGAAUUAUUUUACGGUCCAGAAAAAAUCUUCAGACCUGACUGCACAGGUAUCUAUUGAAUACAUCAGAGGAACUGGUUGCCAGUGAGAAAACCUGUUGUUGGAAUCAAGUUUUCUGUGGCCUUCAAUGUUGUGUUGAGCAAGCUAGGGCUUGCUGAGUGUGGGACUGCUGGGAGAGCUCAGAAAAGAGAAAGAACUGGAAGGGACUGAUGGCAGCUGGCAAGGGGCUGAGCUGGGGUCUGACCUAUGUGGAAAUCAGGGCUCAGCUUACAAUUAAUUUUUUGUAACUGAAACCACAUCAGACAACUUCCAUUGUAUCAGCUCACACCAUUGUAUCUGCUGUCACGGGUC